rnacentral:rRNA from 1 species
ACGCUGGCGGCGUGCUUAACACAUGCAAGUCGAACGGUAACAGAGAGUACUUGUACUGCUGACGAGUGGCGAACGGGUGAGUAAAGUAUAGUUAAUUUGCCUCUUGGAGGGGGAGCCAUUGGAAGCGAUGAUUAAUACCCCAUACUCCUUAUAUAGUAAAUAUAUAAGGGAUGCUUUAGUGCCAAGAGAUAAGACUAUAUCCUAUCAGCUAGUUGGUGGUGUAAGAGACCCAAGGCAAUGACGGGUAGCUGGUCUGAGAGGAUGAUCAGCCACACUGGAACUGAGACGGUCCAGACUCCUACGGGAGGCAGCAGUGGGGAAUAUUGCACAAUGGAGGAAACUCUGGCAGCAACGCCGCGUGGAGGAAGACGGAUUUCGGUGUGUAAACUCCUUUUAUAUAGGAAUAAUGACGGUACUAUAUGAAUAAGCACCGGCUAACUCCGUGCCAGCAGCCGCGGUAACGGAGGGUGCAAGCGUUACUCGGAAUCACUGGGCGUAAAGCGCAUGCAGGCGGUUUAAAGUUAGAAGUGAAAUCCUACAGCUUAACUGUAGAACUGCUUCUAAAACUGUUAAACUAGUCUGGGAGGGGAAGAUGGAAUUAGUAGUGUAGGGGUAAAAUCCGUAGAGAUUACUAGAUACCAAAAGCGAAGGCGAUUUUCUGGAACAGUACUGACGCUGAGAUGCGAAAGCGUGGAGCAAACAGGAUUAGAUACCCUGGUAGUCCACGCAGUAAACGAUGAAUGUUAGUCGUGAGUGCUAGUCACUUCAGUGAUGCAGUUAACACAUUAAACAUUCCGCCUGGGGAGUACUCGCAAGAUUAAAACUCAAAGGAAUAGACGGGGACCCGCACAAGUGGUGGAGCAUGUGUUAAUUCGAAGAUACGCGAAGAACCUUACCUAGCCUUGACAUAUAGGAGAACCUGCCAGAUGGCGGGGUGCCUUCGGGAGCUCCUAUACAGGUGCUGCACGGCUGUCGUCAGCUCGUCGUGAGAUGUUGGGUUAAGUCCCGCAACGAGCGCAACCCUCGUCACUAGUUACUAACUACGGUCGAGGACUCUAGUGAGACUGCCUUCGCAAGGAGGAGGAAGGUGAGGACGACGAAGUCAUCAUGGCCCUUACGGCUAGGGCAACACACGUGCUACAAUGGUUAGGACAAUGAGGCGAUACUGUGAAGUGGAGCAAAUCUAUAAACCUAGUCUCAGUUCGGAUUGUAGUCCGACUCGACUACAUGAAGCUGGAAUCACUAGUAAUCGUAGAUCAGCUAUGCUACGGUGUACGUUCCCGGGUCUUGUACUCACCGCCCGUCACACCAUGGGAGUUGAUUUCACCCGACGGGGAAGCUAAACUGGCUACCCUCCACGGUGGAAUUAGCGACUGGGG